rnacentral:lncRNA from 1 species
AUUAGAGGAGGUUAUUGAAGGGUGGGUGGGUGUUGUAGUUGAGUUUUAGUGUUUCAGUUUAUAGAGCAUUUUUUGGAUGGGAGUUACAGUAUUUUGAGUUGUUUGGUGUUGCUGGUGAUGUAUUGUUGAGGUGGUAAGGAGGAUUUGUUGGGUUGUUUUAAAGAAGGUUUAUUGUAGAUAGUUCUGGAUAGUUGUGGGGUUGCUUAAUUUUUUUAUGGUUUUUGGCUUUUUAGUAGUUAUUUGAAAUAUGCUAGAGUUUUUUUGGGUUUAUUGAAAUACUUGAUUUUGAGGAAGUUCCUGUUUAGAAUGUAUGAUUUUUUUUUUUUUUUGCUUAAAAUAAAAAUUUUAUGUUUUAGUGAGGUUUAUUUUUUUUCUUACUGCUAUAUUUUGUGAUAUUUGUGUUAGGUUAGUAGUAGGGAUAGCUUUACAUUUAUAUGUUGAAAUGAGGGUAGUGUGUAUUGCAUACUGGUUUUCAUAAAGGUUUAAUAUUUUUAUGGUUCUGAUGUGUUAGGUUAAUGAAUUUAUGAAGUUUACAAGACUUUUUUUGUUUUUAUUUUGAUACAGGCAGGGUUUUCUUAGUUUUAAGGAUUUGUUUGGCAUAGAUUUUAGAGGUCUUAUUGAGGGGAUAGGACAGGGUGUCUCUGUUAAUCUAUUUGGCAAUUUGGAUAGUGUAAAUAAAAUUAAUAUUUUGGUAGAAUGUUUGGGUUUUGUUAGUUUAUUUAUUUAUGAAUUUGUGUGCCUGCAGCUGUAGUGUCUCUGCUGCAAGUCUCAGUAUCCAUUCAUGUUUGUGUGCAUCAGGCAGUCCACUCGUGUACCAGCGAGUCCCCCCUGCAAGCGGCCGCAGAGCCGCUCCUUCGCUCUCCUGGGAAUUCGGGGAGCGGCACACGGCUCUGCGACGAAGCCUUGAUCUUUGUCACUUGGAGGUGGCACCAGGGAGCCUCAGGAGCGGCCGAGGAGUUGCUCCAGGCAGACCCUGCCAGGAGGGCGUGGGCGAAGCGUGCGGCCCGAGGAGCCCGGCGUUCUCAAGAGAAUAA